rnacentral:rRNA from 1 species
AUUGAACGCUGGCGGCAGGCCUAACACAUGCAAGUCGAACGAGUGGCGGACGGGUGAGUAAUGUCUGGGAAACUGCCCGAUGGAGGGGGAUAACUACUGGAAACGGUAGCUAAUACCGCAUACAAUCGGAUGUGCCCAGAUGGGAUUAGCUAGUAGGUGGGGUAACGGCUCAACUAGGCGACGAUCCCUAGCUGGUCUGAGAGGAUGACCAGCCACACUGGAACUGUGACACGGUCCAGACUCCUACGGUAGGCAGCAGUGGGGAAUAUUGCAGAAUGGGCUCAAGCCUGAUGCAGUCAUGCCGCGUGUAGGAAGAAGGCCUUCGGGUUGUAAAGUACUUUCAGCGAGGAGGGGUUGCUCGCAGAAGAAGCACCGGCUAGCUCCGUGCCAGCAGCCGCGGUAAUAC